rnacentral:rRNA from 1 species
UACGUAGGGGGCAAGCGUUGUCCGGAAUUAUUGGGCGUAAAGAGCGCGUAGGCGGUCCGGUAAGUCGGUUGUGAAAGUCGGGGGGCCUCAACCCUCGGAUGCCGAUCGAUACUGUCGGGCUAGAGUCCGGAAGAGGCGAGUGGAAUCCUGGUGUAGCGGUGAAAUGCGCAGAUAUCAGGAGGAACACCAAUGGCGAAGGCAGCUCGCUGGGACGGUACUGACGCUGAGGCGCGAAAGCGUGGGGAGCGAACAGG